CGGAACGUGCCCAGUAGCGGGGGAUAACUACGCGAAAGCGUAGCUAAUACCGCAUACGCCCUUCGGGGGAAAGCAGGGGAUCGCAAGACCUUGCACUAUUGGAGCGGCCGAUAUCGGAUUAGCUAGUUGGUGAGGUAAUGGCUCACCAAGGCCGCGAUCCGUAGCUGGUUUGAGAGGACGACCAGCCACACUGGGACUGAGACACGGCCCAGACUCCUACGGGAGGCAGCAGUGGGGAAUUUUGGACAAUGGGGGAAACCCUGAUCCAGCCAUCCCGCGUGUGCGAUGAAGGCCUUCGGGUUGUAAAGCACUUUUGGCAGGAAAGAAACGGCGCGUGCUAAUACCAUGCGCAACUGACGGUACCUGCAGAAUAAGCACCGGCUAACUACGUGCCAGCAGCCGCGGUAAUACGUAGGGUGCAAGCGUUAAUCGGAAUUACUGGGCGUAAAGCGUGCGCAGGCGGUUCGGAAAGAAAGAUGUGAAAUCCCAGGGCUCAACCUUGGAACUGCAUUUUUAACUACCGGACUAGAGUAUGUCAGAGGGAGGUGGAAUUCCACGU
rnacentral:rRNA from 1 species